GCAGUCGAGCGGUAGGCCCUUCGGGGUACACGAGCGGCGAACGGGUGAGUAACACGUGGGUGAUCUGCCUUGCACUUCGGGAUAAGCCUGGGAAACUGGGUCUAAUACCGGAUAUGACCACGGAAUGCAUGUUCUGUGGUGGAAAGAUUUAUCGGUGCGAGAUGGGCCCGCGGCCUAUCAGCUUGUUGGUGAGGUAACGGCUCACCAAGGCGACGACGGGUAGCCGACCUGAGAGGGUGACCGGCCACACUGGGACUGAGACACGGCCCAGACUCCUACGGGAGGCAGCAGUGGGGAAUAUUGCACAAUGGGCGCAAGCCUGAUGCAGCGACGCCGCGUGCGGGAUGACGGCCUUCGGGUUGUAAACCGCUUUUGACAGGGACGAAGCGAAAGUGACUGUACCUGUAGAAUAAGGACCGGCCAACUACGUGCCAGCAGCCGCGGUAAUACGUAGGGUCCGAGCGUUGUCCGGAAUUACUGGGCGUAAAGAGCUUGUAGGCGGUUCGUCGCGUCGUUUGUGAAAACUUGGGGCUCAACCUUAAGCUUGCAGGCGAUACGGGCGGACUAGAGUACUUCANGGGAGACUGGAAUUCCUGGUGUAGCGGUGAAAUGCGCAGAUAUCANGAGGAACACCGGUGGCGAANGCGGGUCUCUGGGAAGUAACUGACGCUGAGAAGCGAAAGCAUGGGUAGCAAACAGGAUUAGAUACCCUGGUAGUCCAUGCCGUAAACGGUGGGUACUANGUGUGGGGCUCCUUCCACGGACUCCGUGCCGUANCUAACGCAUUAAGUACCCCCGCCUGGGGGAGUACG
rnacentral:rRNA from 1 species